AACCGUGUACGUACAAGCAGUGGGAGCACGCUUAGGCGUGUGACUGCGUACCUUUUGUAUAAUGGGUCAGCGACUUAUAUUCUGUAGCAAGGUUAACCGAAUAGGGGAGCCGAAGGGAAACCGAGUCUUAACUGGGCGUUAAGUUGCAGGGUAUAGACCCGAAACCCGGUGAUCUAGCCAUGGGCAGGUUGAAGGUUGGGUAACACUAACUGGAGGACCGAACCGACUAAUGUUGAAAAAUUAGCGGAUGACUUGUGGCUGGGGGUGAAAGGCCAAUCAAACCGGGAGAUAGCUGGUUCUCCCCGAAAGCUAUUUAGGUAGCGCCUCGUGAAUUCAUCUCCGGGGGUAGAGCACUGUUUCGGCAAGGGGGUCAUCCCGACUUACCAACCCGAUGCAAACUGCGAAUACCGGAGAAUGUUAUCACGGGAGACACACGGCGGGUGCUAACGUCCGUCGUGAAGAGGGAAACAACCCAGACCGCCAGCUAAGGUCCCAAAGUCAUGGUUAAGUGGGAAACGAUGUGGGAAGGCCCAGACAGCCAGGAUGUUGGCUUAGAAGCAGCCAUCAUUUAAAGAAAGCGUAAUAGCUCACUGGUCGAGUCGGCCUGCGCGGAAGAUGUAACGGGGCUAAACCAUGCACCGAAGCUGCGGCAGCGACGCUUAUGCGUUGUUGGGUAGGGGAGCGUUCUGUAAGCCUGUGAAGGUGUGCUGUGAGGCAUGCUGGAGGUAUCAGAAGUGCGAAUGCUGACAUAAGUAACGAUAAAGCGGGUGAAAAGCCCGCUCGCCGGAAGACCAAGGGUUCCUGUCCAACGUUAAUCGGGGCAGGGUGAGUCGACCCCUAAGGCGAGGCCGAAAGGCGUAGUCGAUGGGAAACAGGUUAAUAUUCCUGUACUUGGUGUUACUGCGAAGGGGGGACGGAGAAGGCUAUGUUGGCCGGGCGACGGUUGUCCCGGUUUAAGCGUGUAGGCUGGUUUUCCAGGCAAAUCCGGAAAAUCAAGGCUGAGGCGUGAUGACGAGGCACUACGGUGCUGAAGCAACAAAUGCCCUGCUUCCAGGAAAAGCCUCUAAGCAUCAGGUAACAUCAAAUCGUACCCCAAACCGACACAGGUGGUCAGGUAGAGAAUACCAAGGCGCUUGAGAGAACUCGGGUGAAGGAACUAGGCAAAAUGGUGCCGUAACUUCGGGAGAAGGCACGCUGAUAUGUAGGUGAAGUCCCUCGCGGAUGGAGCUGAAAUCAGUCGAAGAUACCAGCUGGCUGCAACUGUUUAUUAAAAACACAGCACUGUGCAAACACGAAAGUGGACGUAUACGGUGUGACGCCUGCCCGGUGCCGGAAGGUUAAUUGAUGGGGUCAGCGCAAGCGAAGCUCUUGAUCGAAGCCCCGGUAAACGGCGGCCGUAACUAUAACGGUCCUAAGGUAGCGAAAUUCCUUGUCGGGUAAGUUCCGACCUGCACGAAUGGCGUAAUGAUGGCCAGGCUGUCUCCACCCGAGACUCAGUGAAAUUGAACUCGCUGUGAAGAUGCAGUGUACCCGCGGCAAGACGGAAAGACCCCGUGAACCUUUACUAUAGCUUGACACUGAACAUUGAGCCUUGAUG
rnacentral:rRNA from 1 species